CACUAUCGUUAACUGAAUACAUAGGUUAACGAGGCGAACCGGGGGAACUGAAACAUCUAAGUACCCCGAGGAAAAGAAAUCAACCGAGAUUCCCCCAGUAGCGGCGAGCGAACGGGGAGCAGCCCAGAGUCUGAAUCAGCUUGUGUGUUAGUGGAACGGUCUGGAAAGUCCGACGGUACAGGGUGAUAGUCCCGUACACCAAAAUGCACAGGCUGUGAACUCGAAGAGUAGGGCGGGACACGUGGUAUCCUGUCUGAAUAUGGGGGGACCAUCCUCCAAGGCUAAAUACUCCUGACUGACCGAUAGUGAACCAGUACCGUGAGGGAAAGGCGAAAAGAACCCCGGCGAGGGGAGUGAAAAAGAACCUGAAACCGUGUACGUACAAGCAGUGGGAGCACCUUUAUGGUGUGACUGCGUACCUUUUGUAUAAUGGGUCAGCGACUUAUAUUCUGUAGCAAGGUUAACCGUAUAGGGGAGCCGCAGGGAAACCGAGUCUUAACUGGGCGUUAAGUUGCAGGGUAUAGACCCGAAACCCGGUGAUCUAGCCAUGGGCAGGUUGAAGGUUGGGUAACACUAACUGGAGGACCGAACCGACUAAUGUUGAAAAAUUAGCGGAUGACUUGUGGCUGGGGGUGAAAGGCCAAUCAAACCGGGAGAUAGCUGGUUCUCCCCGAAAGCUAUUUAGGUAGCGCCUCGUGAAUUCAUCUUCGGGGGUAGAGCACUGUUUCGGCUAGGGGGUCAUCCCGACUUACCAACCCGAUGCAAACUACGAAUACCGAAGAAUGUUAUCACGGGAGACACACGGCGGGUGCUAACGUCCGUCGUGAAGAGGGAAACAACCCAGACCGCCAGCUAAGGUCCCAAAGUCAUGGUUAAGUGGGAAACGAUGUGGGAAGGCACAGACAGCCAGGAUGUUGGCUUAGAAGCAGCCAUCAUUUAAAGAAAGCGUAAUAGCUCACUGGUCGAGUCGGCCUGCGCGGAAGAUGUAACGGGGCUAAACCAUGCACCGAAGCUGCGGCAGCGACACUAUGUGUUGUUGGGUAGGGGAGCGUUCUGUAAGCCUGCGAAGGUGACCUGUGAGGGUUGCUGGAGGUAUCAGAAGUGCGAAUGCUGACAUAAGUAACGAUAAAGCGGGUGAAAAGCCCGCUCGCCGGAAGACCAAGGGUUCCUGUCCAACGUUAAUCGGGGCAGGGUGAGUCGACCCCUAAGGCGAGGCCGAAAGGCGUAGUCGAUGGGAAACAGGUUAAUAUUCCUGUACUUGGUGUUACUGCGAAGGGGGGACGGAGAAGGCUAUGUUAGCCGGGCGACGGUUGUCCCGGUUUAAGCAUGUAGGCUG
rnacentral:rRNA from 3 species